rnacentral:rRNA from 1 species
UACGUAGGGUGCGAGCGUUGUCCGGAAUUAUUGGGCGUAAAGAGCUCGUAGGCGGUUUGUCGCGUCUGCUGUGAAAACCCGCGGCUCAACUGCGGGCUUGCAGCCGAUACGGGCAGGCUAGAGUUCGGUAGGGGAGACUGGAAUUCCUGGUGUAGCGGUGAAAUGCGCAGAUAUCAGGAGGAACACCGGUGGCGAAGGCGGGUCUCUGGGCCGAUACUGACGCUGAGGAGCGAAAGCGUGGGGAGCGAACAGG